AACGAACGCUGGCGGCAGGCCUAACACAUGCAAGUCGAACGCCGUAGCAAUACGGAGUGGCAGACGGGUGAGUAACACGUGGGAACGUACCCUUCGGUUCGGGAUAACUCAGGGAAACUUGAGCUAAUACCGGAUACGUCCGAGAGGAGAAAGAUUUAUCGCCGAGGGAUCGGCCCGCGUCUGAUUAGCUUGUUGGUGAGGUAACGGCUCACCAAGGCGACGAUCAGUAGCUGGUCNGAGAGGAUGAUCAGCCACAUUGGGACUGAGACAC
rnacentral:rRNA from 1 species